rnacentral:lncRNA from 10 species
UGAUCACUGUUCUAUACUUCAAAUGCACUGAAACAGGUUUAUUUUGCAAUAACCUGGAGAACAUAUGCAAAUUGAAGUUAUAUUGUUUAAUCUGAAGAAGUGAAGGCUGACUGAAUAAUCGGACUGCAAGGAUAUGAAGUAUUAUGUUGAGGAUAUAUACCACGAUUUACCAUUAAAUAGUACACAAAAUUAAAAUGGACUUAAAAUGCUCAGGAAAUAUGUAUAAAAUUUCUAAAAAUAGCUAAUGCUUCAUGGAUUUUUAAAGUUUUGUUUUGUUUUGUUUUUUUGUUUUUGAGAUAGGGAGAAGAUACUAGGGGAAAAAAGCAGAUGGAAAACUUCCUUGUGGUUUUUCUGUAGUAGCUUAGAGUCUGUUCUAAGGAGCAGAGAUUUCAGAGUAUGGUCUUGGAAACCUUUGUGUUCUUUGUUUCUUGUAGACGCCACACGCCUCUGUCCCCUGGCCACAGAGGCUGAUUUUGCUGUAUCUGACAUGGGUUUCUUGACCUGCUGGGAAGGCCCAAUGUCUAAUUUCCUGGUCUGCACCCUGCAGAAACCAGUGGAAAUUAAGCAGCGAUCGAUUAUCCUACCCCAUCACACCUUUCCUAGAUCAGAUGAUGCUGGCUGAGGCUUUGAAGUAUUGACAACACACUCUUUUUUCUUUUUACACCUUUUCUUCAGAGGACCUGACUCAUUCCCUGUAAAGGGAGGAAUCACUGCAGAGACACCCCCUGUAGCCACACUGCACCCUUGCAGGGGCUGGGGGACGAGAAGCAGGAUGUUGGUAGUGGUGUUGUUACCUCUCAUGACACGAAUCAGGCCCUUCCACCAUACACUUCAUUGAGGGGAUUCUGAAAUGGGGUCCUAAGGUUGCUCUGCUCUGAGAUGGAGCGUGGAGCACCGCCUCGCACUGUUGCUCUGGGGUUUGUCUUUUGCCUGGGUCUAGCUUAGCAAGGGCAAUGGCAAGAAGGGGUUUGGGAGUCAGGAGACUAUUAAUUCCAAGGGCCAAGGAUUGGCACAUCUUGGAAUAUUCCAGAAGUGUCCGCUCAGAUGGCAAAUAUGGGGACAACGUUACCGGCCCUCCUUCCAGCAAGGAGGCUAAUAUAGACCCACUCACUGCUACCAACCACCAACUCUUGACCCUUGGAAUGAAACAGUCUGUUAACUCCCAAACCCCUUCUUGCCAUUGCCCUUGCUAAGCUAGACCCAGGCAAACGACAGGCCCCAGAGCGACGCUGCAAGGCAGUGCUUCGCGCCACUUUCAUCAGGGAGGUGCCUGUGAGAUUCUGCCUCGUCCCCAUGACCUAGUUCAUGCCCUCGAUAUGCCGGUGAGAUGUGCAGGAGCUUCCUGAAGGGCCGCAUCAUCCAGCCUUUAUUUUUGUACCUCUGUAUGAGUUUUUCUCAACUCCUGCUGUCCAGUAGCCUCACUUAGGGAACCUGUAAAUAAUACCUAUGCUUGGGCCCCACCCAAGACCCAUUAAACUGGAUUAUCUGGGGAGGAAACCUGGCAGUGGUGCUUUUUAAAAAGCUCCCCAGAUGACUUUAGUGUGCAGCCUGGAUUGAGAAUUGCUGGAUCAAUUGCUGGGGGAAGAGAGAGUUCUGUGCCAGCAUAUGAGUGGGUUUUCAUAACACUAAGGAGCCUUACUGUGUGUAGGUGAUACCUACACUUCAACCAGGAGUUCUGACAGAUCAAGGACUAUUGCCCUACCAGCUGGGGAGUGACACGAGAGAGGCAUGGGCAAGGAACCAGUACAGGGAGCCCACUUACCUGGGAGAGCUGUACAAAGUUCACUGCAAAGGGUGAAACCUGAAUUGUUUGCAUUAUGCGUGGGUCUUUGGCAGAUAGAGAUGGGGAGACAGGACAUUUCCGCAGAAAGGACAAUGUGCAGGCGUGAUGCAGCAUGAUUUUUCAGGGGGACCAGAAGGUAAGUGUCAAAAAAGCAGACUCUGGGGCGUCCUUGUCCCUUUCCAGGAGCUGAGACCUGAGCUAGACACCACUGGGAUGUGUCUGGAAGGAAUGAACUGGUGGACACGGAAGCAUUGUCUUCUCAAGGGUGCAGGGUGUGCCUGGAGAUGAGGCUGGAGACAGCAGGAGCCCUGCCAUGGAUGGAAUUCUGCACCACGUUAAUUGGACUUUACCCACAGCCCCGGGCACAGCGGUCACCCCGGUGGAGUCAGCGGCACCAUGAGAGGCGCUACCCAGGAACAGCUCUGUGCACCUUGACUGCUCACCGGCCAAGCCCAAGUCCCUGAGCCUGCUCCUGACACCCAGUCGGCUUGCUUCCCCGCCUCAUCUUUGACUGCUCUUCCUUUCAGUCACCCCUCAUCUUCCUUCUACUUCUAUGCAGGUCCAAGCAUACUUACUGUGGCUUAUUUUGUUCCCUCUGCCUGAAAGAGGUCUCUUCACCUGUCAAACUCCCGGGUACCCUUCAGACUGAGAUGAUUGUCCCCUUGAAUGUGAAUUUCCCUGAGGCAAAACUCACCGGUUCUGCUGCUGCGUCUGUGUUCCUUCAACCCAUUCUCCACACAGGGCCAGAGCCAUCUUAGCUCCAGGCACGUCACCAGUUCACGUCCCAACGAGUUUAGAAUGAGUUCACAUUCUUUGGUGGCCACAUGCCUGCCCUACUGGCUCAUCUCUGACCUCACUCUCACCAUGCUCCUCUUCCUUCUAGCACCAUCGGCCUCCUGGCACUUCCUGGAACUGCCUCAGGUCUUUCCUCUUGCCUCAGGUCCUUUGCACAAAUGAUUCCCUCCUCUCUUUCCCUGGAAUUCUCACUGUGUAUCUUCCAGAUCUCUGCUUAAAUGUCGUCUCCUCAGACAGGCCUUCCACACCUUCCUCUCCAAAAGAGGUUCUCACCAUUGUCUCAUUAUAACAAGGCUAGUCUAAGUCCAUAUAUGCUGCUAUAACAAAACACAUAGAGGGGGCAGCUUGUAA